rnacentral:rRNA from 1 species
UGGCUCAGAUUGAACGCUGGCGGCAGGCCUAACACAUGCAAGUCGAACGGUAGCAGGAAGUGCUUGCACUUCGCUGACGAGUGGCGGACGGGUGAGUAAUGCUUGGGAACUUGCCUUUGCGAGGGGGAUAACAGUUGGAAACGACUGCUAAUACCGCAUAAUGUCUACGGACCAAACGGGGCUUAGGCUCCGGCGCAGAGAGAGGCCCAAGUGAGAUUAGCUAGUUGGUGGGGUAAAGGCUCACCAAGGCGACGAUCUCUAGCUGUUCUGAGAGGAAGAUCAGCCACACUGGAACUGAGACACGGUCCAGACUCCUACGGGAGGCAGCAGUGGGGAAUAUUGCACAAUGGGGGAAACCCUGAUGCAGCCAUGCCGCGUGUGUGAAGAAGGCCUUCGGGUUGUAAAGCACUUUCAGUUGUGAGGAAAGGUUGGUAGUUAAUACC